CUUUGCCUCCUUUCGUCGUCUUCAUCUUGUAAAUAGAAAAAUUGAAGAACUCUCUCCUUUUCUAUAUAUCUCUGUCUCCCCAAAAAAACAAAAACAAGAAUCUAAAUUAGCAACAGUAAUGAUACGUAUGCUUGUUGUUGUGAUUGUUCAAUGUGGAUUUUUGCAAAUCAAUCAGAGGCUGAAGAAUCUUGCGGAAACCCUUUCCUCGCUUCCUAUUCCGUCGCAAAUCGUCGGCAGCUUAAUAUCUAAAGGGAUCACAUUUAUAUAUCGCUCCCUAAUUUCUC
rnacentral:misc_RNA from 1 species